CCCAGACUCCUACGGGAGGCAGCAGUGGGGAAUAUUGCACAAUGGGGGAAACCCUGAUGCAGCGACGCCGCGUGAGUGAAGAAGUAAUUCGUUAUGUAAAGCUCUCUCAGCAGGGAAGAAAAUGACGGUACCUGACCAAGAAGCUCCGGCUAAAUACGUGCCAGCAGCCGCGGUAAUACGUAUGGAGCAAGCGUUAUCCGGAUUUACUGGGUGUAAAGGGAGCGCAGGCGGCAGUGCAAGUCUGAUGUGAAAGGCGGGGGCCCAACCCCCGGACUGCUUUGGAAACUGCGCGGCUGGAGUGUCGGAGAGGUAAGCGGAAUUCCUAGUGUAGCGGUGAAAUGCGUAGAUAUUAGGAGGAACACCAGUGGCGAAGGCGGCCUACUGGACUAUAACUGACGUUGAGGCUCGAAAGCG
rnacentral:rRNA from 1 species